ACCCACCGUUGCAUGGGGGUCUCCAGCAUUGUUACCACUAGCCCAGGGAGGGUUUCUCUCAGAAGUAUUUGAUCCCAGAAUAGGGCGUCCAGUUUAGCAAAAAAAAAAAAAAAAAAAAAAAAAAAAAGUCAAGAUACAAUACGUGGCAUAAAGAUGAAGGUACAAUUUCAGACCAUGUCUAUGAGGUCUCUUCGGAGCGAUGGGCAGUAAACAAAGCAACCCAAUCAGCCGCUCUGUUCGCCUUUCAGUUGCGGUAUAUAUGAGCAAUCUAAAAGAAAUCACAGUCUCUCACCAUCCGUCGUAUAUCGCUAAGAAGAGGAUGGUCAUAUACAUGUCGCCCAGCAUCCCGAAUCCAAUCGACCAUCAAAGCGGAGUUUUCUUUCAAGAUGAACUCGCUAGCCCCUAGGACGCUCUUCAUAUAGGUGACGCUCCUUUAUGGGACAGAUAAUGGUGGGAUGCCCACCAUCUCCACAAAUUUUGCAAAGAACAUCACCCUUAAACGUAGUGGUCACCGGCAGGGGCGUGUGGUCGUCUUAGGGAGGAAAAUUGGAGGUUAAGGUUGGGGGAUGGAAUGGGGCUAGGAUGAGAGUUUGGAGGUGGGUUUUGUUCGUAGACAUCACACGAUUUUCUCCGCGUUCCGGCAAAUCAUAUCCACUUCAGCUGACAAGUAGGUUCCGCUGAUGAGCUCUAACCCCGAUUUGGAGUAAAGCUGCUCAACGGGCGGGCCAGAUCGGGUUCCAGCCGGGCUCAUUCUAACAUAUUCUAACAUAGAUGUUGACUAUUCUGAGUCUUCUGUCAUUUGAAGUAGGAUUUAUGUCAUGAUUGGCAUUGAACUUGUUUGCGGAAUGAUUUGAUUCUUUCUGAGUGGCUAGUCUUCCUAUAGUGUAUUCGAAUUCUCGGUAAAUGUAAGAGAAUAGGAUUGCGAUGAAUAUGUUGACAAUGUUGAAGAGAAAAUGAUUACCAGCGUCUUUGUUGGAUCUAUUUUCACUUAUGUUUUAGUUUAUAUAGGAUUUUGUCCUAGUCAUGCACAUAUUGUCAGCAAAUUAGAGCAACAUCAUUUGGGGAUGGAGAGGAGUAUGUGGUAAUAGUGUAUCCAUGAUAUGAAUUGGAUUGAAAGCUGUUAGAACUUCUCAGCAACUGGAUGUGGAAUUUACCAAGCAAUGUGGAGAAUGAUGUUCAUUGCAUACCAUAAAGAGUACCAUGAUCAGCAUGCUUUUUCUUGGGGGGGGGGAGUCUAUUAGUUGUACCGUUUAAUCUACUGGAAGGGAAGAUAGAAUUACUUUCUGGAAGAUGGUUGGUUCUGCUUCUUCAUGUUUCUCUAAUUGUUUACCAUUAGGUCCAAACCUAAUUCAAGGAUGGGGAAUUUGUAGGAAUAUAUUUCUGAAGGAAUCUUAAUCAGCAGGCCUGCAAGAAAGUGAUCAGAGUCCUGUUUUUGGCCAUCAUGAGUGUUGUAGAAGAAUAUGGUAGAAAGAAUGGGAAGCUUCUGAAGUCUUUUUUUUUUGUUUGUUUUUGUUUCUGCAUCGGGGCUGGGGUUUGCAUCCUUCUGUGCUGCUUAUUUGAAAGAUGUUGCUAUUGAACAUAUAUGUAAAGGUAUAAGCACUUGACUUUACCAAGAAAAGAUAUAUGCAUGUGAAACCUGCACCUCUUUCGUGAUUAACUUUCCAAUAUGUGAUUCCAGGUGAAGUCUUUUAUGCUUGCUGAGGUAAUUUGAUCAAAAUAUGAGGAGGAAGUGGUGUAGCAUGCCUGGGCAUGAAAAGAAACCCAUGAAAUAAAAAACUACAGUAAACUGUCUGCAAUACUAUUUGAAUCUUAAAUUAAUAACUAUGCAAUAAAAGUCUGAUUGUUUCCCUUGUUAAUGUUCUGGUUUCUGAGCAGAAUCAUUACAUUUUUACAAUUUUGUUACCUGGUAGAAUGCAUUAUUUCCUAGGGUUGACACUUACCUGCUGUCUAAAUAAUAUCGAGUCAAUCCAUAUGCAUAUAUAAUUUGAAGCAAGUUAUAUUUACUUUUGUUUCUCCUUCUAACAAUAAUCAUUUCCUGUAUUACAGGUUGCUGGUGAUGAUGGUGCUGUAUCCUUUAUGUUUUCAGUACUGGUACCUCUUCAGUGCUUAUUUUCAGAUAUUGAUGAUUACUGAUUUUCCUAAAAAGAAAAAAAAUCCUAUGGUUAAAUGUUGGUAUGCAGAUAAAUAUGGAAAUGUUGACAUGAUUCUUACAAAUCGGUAUCCAUGGAUCUAUGUGUAAACCACAUAUGCCACUUUUACUAUAUAGCAAUGUUGAUAAAUUAUGUCAGCAUCAGUUGCAGAAUGAGCCACCCUUUGCCCAACUUCUAGAGGCCUCUUCAAUACUGUAUUUGCCAUUGAUUAUUCUAUACUCUGUUGAAUGUUUGGUCUGUUAAGAGGUGUUAUUCACUUAAAAAUAUGCGAGAAAAUUGGCAACAGUAGCAUACUUGACUAUUCCUAAACAAACUAGAAGACCUCCACUGGAAGUUGUUAAGCUAACCUACAGAAGUCCUCUUUUUCAUUUGCAUUGUAGGAAUACUUUCGUUGAAGGGUUUCGUGGUUUUGUUCUGCACGCCUCACUCAUUACCAUAGGAAGUUGAUAUUUGAUACUUCCUUACAUCUAAAUAUUGUUUCCAAUGAUGAUAAUUCCUUGAUAAAUGUUUCUAGAUUCUCCCAUGUACCAUCAAUGCAUCCUGUGCUGCCCUUGUAGAUGCCGGUAUUUGUUUAAAACAUCUUUCUGGUGCAAUCUGUUGUGGUUUAACCGACAGUGGUUCUGUAAUUUUAGAUCAAACCAAAGCAGAAGAGGCGGUAAGCAUGUUAUCUUAACAAAGAACCUUAGGUGCAGGAAUUUUCGUUAAGCAAACAGAAAAUGCAAAGCUUUGCUUAUUUGGUAUUUCCAAAUUCCCCACUUUCCAUCCUAAAGCAUCGUCACCUGUGGUUGAUGAACCUGGAAUCAUAACAUUUGUUAUCCAUGGGCUGAUGUCUGGUACAUAGACAGUUCUUGCCAGGCCAAGAAAAGUGCAACAUCUUGGAGCAUAUUUUGCUGCAACAGGUUCAGUUGCAGGUGUGGAGCCUCAUCUGGACUAUUCUCACAGCAAGAAACUACGAUCUUCUCCUUCAAGUUGAUUCUGGACAAAAUGCAGGGCUUAUGAGCUGCGAGGUCCUUGACUCCACUGUUCAACUAAAGGAUAUGAAAAGCCAUUGACUUGUGUGCACGAUAUGCUUUCAUUGGUACAAUGCACGAUAUGGUUUGCUUUGAAAUGGAUAGUUCACGGAAUGGAAAUGGUGUAUUUGUUGCAAUAUUUGAGGUUCAUGAACACUCUACAGCAUCCUGAAAAUAUUGGUUGACCCUUCACCUAGCCCUGGCAAGAGGGAAUAAACUAAUUGAUAUCUCACAUGUAAUUAACAUUCAUCUGAUGAUGGUUGAAGCUAGAUAUGUUCACUUGAUCCAUAGUUA